rnacentral:rRNA from 1 species
AACGAACGCUGGCGGCAGGCUUAACACAUGCAAGUCGAACGGGUGUAGCAAUACAUCAGUGGCAGACGGGUGAGUAACACGUGGGAACCUUCCUAGAGGUACGGAACAACGCAGGGAAACUUGCGCUAAUACCGUAUACGCUCUUGCGAGGAAAGAUUUAUCGCCUUUAGACGGGCCCGCGUCGGAUUAGCUAGUUGGUAAGGUAACGGCUUACCAAGGCGACGAUCCGUAGCUGAUCUGAGAGGAUGAUCAGCCACACUGGGACUGAGACACGGCCCAGACUCCUACGGGAGGCAGCAGUGGGGAAUCUUGGACAAUGGGCGCAAGCCUGAUCCAGCCAUGCCGCGUGAGUGAAGAAGGCCUUCGGGUUGUAAAGCUCUUUUGUCAGGGACGAUAAUGACGGUACCUGAAGAAUAAGCCCCGGCAAACUUCGUGCCAGCCGCCGCCGUAA